rnacentral:rRNA from 1 species
UACGUAGGGUGCAAGCGUUAAUCGGAAUUACUGGGCGUAAAGCGUGCGCAGGCGGUUUGCUAAGACAGGUGUGAAAUCCCCGGGCUUAACCUGGGAACUGCGCUUGUAACUGGCAAGCUAGAGUGUGGCAGAGGGGGGUGGAAUUCCACGUGUAGCAGUGAAAUGCGUAGAGAUGUGGAGGAACACCGAUGGCGAAGGCAGCCCCCUGGGCUAACACUGACGCUCAUGCACGAAAGCGUGGGGAGCGAACAGG